AUUGAACGCUGGCGGAAUGCUUUACACAUGCAAGUCGAACGGCAGCACGGGGCAACCUGGUGGCGAGUGGCGAACGGGUGAGUAAUACAUCGGAACGUGCCCAAUCGUGGGGGAUAACGUAGCGAAAGUUACGCUAAUACCGCAUACGAUCUACGGAUGAAAGCGGGGGAUCGCAAGACCUCGCGCGAGUGGAGCGGCCGAUGUCAGAUUAGGUAGUUGGUGGGGUAAAGGCUCACCAAGCCAACGAUCUGUAGCUGGUCUGAGAGGACGACCAGCCACACUGGAACUGAGACACGGUCCAGACUCCUACGGGAGGCAGCAGUGGGGAAUUUUGGACAAUGGGCGCAAGCCUGAUCCAGCCAUUCCGCGUGCAGGAUGAAAGGCCUUCGGGUUGUAAACUGCUUUUGUACGGAACGAACGGCGAGCUCUAAUACAGUUUGCUAAUGACGGUACCGUAAGAAUAAGCACCGGCUAACUACGUGCCAGCAGACCGCGGUAAU
rnacentral:rRNA from 1 species